GACGAACCGUGCGAACGUUGUUCGGAAUCACUGGGCUUAAAGGGCGCGUAGGCGGCUUGUCAAGUCAGGGGUGAAAUCCGGCAGCUUAACUGUCGAAGUGCCUUUGAUACUGACGAGCUCGAGGGAAGUAGGGGUCUGUGGAACUUCUGGUGGAGCGGUGAAAUGCGUUGAUAUCAGAAGGAACGCCGGUGGCGAAAGCGACAGACUGGACUUUUACUGACGCUGAGGCGCGAAAGCUAGGGGAGCAAACGGG
rnacentral:rRNA from 1 species